GAAGAAGAAAACAUUUUGGCAUUAUGAUAUUUUACAAUUGGAUUUGAGAACGAAAAAAAACCAGUCAAAUUCAUACAAUAUAACCUUGCUUUGGGGUUACAAUUCUCGAACAUAAAUUGCAAAUUCAAACAUGUGCUAUUGUAAUAACUAAUGAGAGUGUAACUGGUCAUGAAUACACUAUCUAAUGAACUCCAGAUAAAAUAGAAACUAUCAAAUCUCGUGGUUUCACUAGCAACUUGCAAGUGUUAGUUAACACGUUAGCGGUUGAUGACAGGUUAAUGAUGCCAUGUUAACCUAAAGAAUAAUAACAUAUGGUUAACGACUUAGCCUAUAGAAUAGUAAGUACACCGCAUAUCUCAUAUACAAAAAGAACUUUGGAGAUUGGUUGUGAAGCUCACCUCAAUUGCUCGAAACUCGUAAAGAUUGAAAUGCCUAAUUGCAGGUUUGAAUCGCAUCUUGAUAAGCUCGCGAAUCAAUAUAAAAGAAAGAGGGCCCAUAAACCGAAGAAUGGGCCCAAUAAGUAGUCCCAUAACCCACGUGAGUUGCUGACUGUGACGAUCCGCUCUUCGCGCUCACGGUUUGCUCCUUCCUCAAUGGCC
rnacentral:lncRNA from 1 species